CUUGUUUCCUGCAGAGCCGAGCGGUGACGGACGUGAUUAAGUUCAUGAGAGCUCAACAAGCUUCUCCACUGUGGCUUGGGGAGGGUGAGACAGUUCACCUGGACUCUAUGGGGAGAAAGAUGAACUCUUCUGGUCUACCAUCUGCUCACCAGUCCACCUUUGGAACGCUCCCCUGGUCCCGUCAAGCUCUUGGCCUCAUCCUCCCCGACUGAAGAUCAGCCAGAUAACAUUACCUCCUGACCAAUCAGGCGCCUGGAUCCAUACCUCAUCCCACAGGCAUUACGUGAAGAGAAGGUGCUCCUAAUCGCCGUGGAAUCUGCGAAGAUCCAGCAAAA